AUUGAACGCCGGCGGCAUGCCUUACACAUGCAAGUCGAACGGCAGCACGGGAGCAAUCCUGGUGGCGAGUGGCGAACGGGUGAGUAAUAUAUCGGAACGUGCCCAGUCGUGGGGAUAACGUAGCGAAAGCUACGCUAAUACCGCAUACGAUCUAUGGAUGAAAGCGGGGGAUCGCAAGACCUCGCGCGAAUUGGAGCGGCCGAUAUCAGAUUAGGUAGUUGGUGAGGUAAAGGCUCACCAAGCCGACGAUCUGUAGCUGGUCUGAGAGGACGACCAGCCACACUGGACUGAGACACGGCCCAGACUCCUACGGAGGCAGCAGUGGGGAAUUUUGGACAAUGGGCGCAAGCCUGAUCCAGCAAUGCCGCGUGCAGGAU
rnacentral:rRNA from 1 species